GACGAACGCUGGCGGCGUGCUUAACACAUGCAAGUCGAACGGAAAGGCCCUGCUUUUGUGGGGUGCUCGAGUGGCGAACGGGUGAGUAACACGUGAGUAACCUGCCCUUGACUUUGGGAUAACUUCAGGAAACUGGGGCUAAUACCGGAUAGGAGCUCCUGCUGCAUGGUGGGGGUUGGAAAGUUUCGGCGGUUGGGGAUGGACUCGCGGCUUAUCAGUUUGUUGGUGGGGUAGUGGCUUACCAAGGCUUUGACGGGUAGCCGGCCUGAGAGGGUGACCGGCCACAUUGGGACUGAGGUACGGCCCGGACUCCUACGGGGGGCAGCAGUGGGAAAUAUUGCACGAUGGGCGGAAGCCUGAUGCAGCAACGCCGCGUGCGGGAUGACGGCCUUCGGGUUGUAAACCGCGUUCGCCUGUGACGAAGCGUGAGUGACGGUAAUGGGUAAAGAAGCACCGGCUAACUACGUG
rnacentral:rRNA from 1 species